UCUUGGUCAUUUAGAGGAAGUAAAAGUCGUAACAAGGUUUCCGUAGGUGAACCUGCGGAAGGAUCAUUAAUGAUUUGAAAAAAAAGUGAGCUCAUGAAUAUGAGUUUUACUUUACACUUCUUUUAAACCCCUGUUUUAAAAAUGUUUACUAGAGUGUUUUUAAAAUUAUAACUGUAAUGGUUGUAAUGAAAAAGUUUAAUAAUAAAACUUUCAGCAAUGGAUCUCUUGGUUCAGGCAUCGAUGAAGAACGCAGCGAAAUGCGAUAAGUAAUGUGAAUUGCAGAUACAGUGAAUCAUCGAAUCUUUGAACGCAUAUUGCACCUUUUGGUAUUCCAUAAGGUACGUCUGUUUGAGCGUCGCGAACAUCUCAUAAUUAAUGAAUUUUUUUUGUUAAUUAUGGUCUUUGAGUUUGUCUAUAAUUUUUAGACUCACUUUAAAUUGAUUAGUAGUUUGACUUUUGAAAGGGUUAAAAUUAGGUGUUUUUUAAUGUACAUUACUUUGUGCAUCAUCUAAUCAAGAGUUACUUACUCUGCCUUAGUAUUAAUGUUACUGCUUCUAAUAGCUUAUUAAGCAAGUAAUAUUUCAAUCGACCUCAAAUCAGAUGGGAUUACCCGCUGAACUUAAGCAUAUCAAUAAGCGGAGGAAAU
rnacentral:rRNA from 1 species